UCAAGACAGCCACUGGCAUGCUACGAGGAUCCUCUGACAGCUUGGUUUAUAUCCAGGAAGUGACUAUAGACAAACCUUCCAUUGGACAUGGACUUGGUGAAUGAAGUACAGAAGCAGACAAGAAAUAAAAACGUAAAUGCUCUUCUGUGGAUGCAAUGGAACUGAGAAGUGCUUUGUGGAAGACAGCCAUGUCUUGGGAGCCGGAAAUGCUCCCAAGGAAAGGCUGCCUUGAAGGCCACCUGAGGAUUCACCUACUUCAACUGGGCCACAGGGGUUUCCAGGAACUUUAAUUGGGUCACAGUUCCAGAACAGACCCGCUGGCUGACAAGCGCAAUGGGAAUUAUGGUUUUGCUGUUCUUCUGGCCCAUGCCCAACCCUCAAUCAGACUGACCCACAAGGAAACCUAGGGCUGAAGGGGUGUGCCAUCCUCUCCUGCCACUAUGCUUUUAUGGCCCAUUUAAGUAGCAGCAGAUUUUUUAUUUUAUUGAUUUAUUUAAUAAAUUUUAAGGUUUAUUUGUU